rnacentral:rRNA from 1 species
UACGUAGGUGGCAAGCGUUGUCCGGAUUUACUGGGCGUAAAGAGCGCGCAGGCGGUCGUUCAAGUCGCGUGUGAAAGCCCCCGGCUCAACUGGGGAGGGUCACGCGAUACUGAUCGACUCGAAGGCAGGAGAGGGUAGUGGAAUUCCCGGUGUAGUGGUGAAAUGCGUAGAUAUGUGGAAGAACACCGGUGGCGAAGGCGGUUUUCUAUCUUAUUCCUGACGCUGAGGCGCGAAAGCAAGGGGAUCAAACAGG